rnacentral:tRNA from 1 species
GGAACUGUGCCCGAAUUAAAGGACCACUUUGAUAGAGUGGCUAAUGGGGGUUGAAGUCCCCCCAGUUCCU